GAGCCUUCCCCUUUGUUUCCCUCAGUGAUGCUAGGGUCUUGAAACUCAGCCCAGUACAAUCAUUGGUGUUUGAGCUGGCAACUGGGGGUCUAAUUGCCAACUAAGAUGGAUAUCUCUGGCUCUGGAGAAACAGCUGGGAUAGGACAUUGUUGCUUCUCUGCGGCAGGCAGCUCAUGGUAAGUAGGCACUGUGGGCAUGGGGCAGCUCGAGGUUCAGCAGGAUCCUCAACGGCACCACGGCAUUAAACAGAGGGACCCAUCAGUUAAUUCUAGGGGUUAAUAUGUAAUUUCUCAGAAGUGAGAUCCAAAGGUGGUUUUGCUCUGUUUUGCCUUUUAAGUUCCAGGCCUGUGGUUGGUUAGAUACCAUCAUUAGAAGGAUGCUCCGGGGCUGAACAAACAAUGAUGAGCAAUUAUCUGGGUCUGCAAAGCAGAUGUGUUUAGGAGAGAUUGGAGGCAAACUGUGUAUAAACUCUGACAGUUAUCCAAUUGUCAUGCUCUGGAGCUGGGGAUAGAAGCUGUGCAAAAACUUGUGAGAAUGACCAUGAUAACAAGGCAGGCAACAUAUGGUGGCUGGGCAGUGAGAAAGGAACUGGCUACCAUGAAGUCUCAUGGGUACUGACUUUAAGAUGUACCAGGGAUAUGUCAGGAAAGGGGGAACAAAAUGUGUUUCCUUCUUAAAGAAAACAAAUGAAAGGACCUUGGCUUAGUAUACUAGCCUGUUUGCCUGGAAACCUGAUAGAAAUAGAUGUGAGCUGUGUUGCCAGGCAACAGGGCUUAUAGAGAGAAUGACCUAUGACUGACUGGCCAGCCUCAUAGGAACUGAGGGAGGCCAUGAAGAAACAUAACUGAUAUGAUAACCCCGAGCUUUCUCAGUGCAGUGACUUGCCACUGGGCACUUCCCUGGAUGAGGCCAGGGAGUUCUGGCUGUGGGAUCCUAGUGGCAGGAGGAGUCUGAUGCUACAGUCCUCACCCUUGACCUUUGACUUAGCUCUGAAAACGAGUCCUUGGUCUCUGGGACUCUUUCUGCUAUUUCCUCUACAUUGUCCAGGGGAGCUAUCACUGGGCAAGGUGUCUUGGAUUCUGAAAGAUCUUUCUAGCUGAGACUAAGCCUGUUAAGAGUAUAUAUGGUAAGAAGAAAAAUACUGGGAUUAUUUCUCUAUUGUAGGCAAGAGAUCAAACAAACAAACCAACAAAAAUGUGAAGAUUUCUUUGUCCUUGUUAAAGACAGCAAUAUCCUGGUGUGAUGUGAUGACCCCACCAAUAAGCCAACAUAUGCCCUUAGCAUCCAGGACAGCCAGUGUCUGAUGGUGUGUUAUGCUUAGUCAAGAACUAUUGGGAAGCUGAUAUCAAUACUCAGUUACCUUAUUUCAAGCCUCGUGUGAGUUAUCCGGGCAGAUACACAUCAGUCUAACCCUUCCCUCAAGCAAUCUGCAUCUGCUUUGACGGAGACCCCUUAGGACUUUGUCAUUUUGUAAGGGAGGGGAAUGGUGAAUGGAUAGUUACUCUUAGAGUAGCAGAAGUAAGCCUUCUGUUGGGGGCCACUUUAGAUAAAGUGUCCAUUUGUUUUUCCACAAGCUCAUGCCCGAAUGCUCCAAUCAGCUCAUCUUCUGCCUACUCUGUAAUUAUCAUCAUCGCCAUCACUUCCAUUAUCAUCGUGGUCAAUAUUAUCAUAGUUUACAGUAUUUUCUGGGAACUGUCAUAAACACUUUAUUUAGAUAAUCUUACUAAAUUACCAAAAUUGCCCCCAUUCUGCAGAUGCAAAUGCCGAGUUUGGACCAAUAGGAUUCAAACCUUGGUGGCUGCCUCCAGCAUGCACUCUUUGCACUGCUCUGCUUCCUCCUGCCACUCUGGUGACAUUUGCGUGGAGGUGAGGUGCCCUGUGGGUUUUAUAUGCCUGAGCCAUAAAAAGUUAAUGAACUGAGUCCUGUAUCUGCCUGGACAUAAGAUGAAUUCUUCAAAUGUUUUAUAUACACUGUGGAUUUAGGUCAGAUGUUGUACAAAUAUAUGUCUCACUUGGAAAUGGGCUAUAUAGAAGUUACAAAAUGUUCUUUCCUGCACAGGACUUUAAAGAUGCACAUUAAUAAACAGACUACUAGAUCCAAGUUUAGAAAUUAAUAUCUAACAUAUUCCUGUUAAGACUCUGCAAAUGGGACUUCUUUUAACUUCAGUGAAUGUGUGCAAGCUUAAUUUUAUUUCAUUCUUUUGGAAAAAUCUUAGAAAUUUUAUUUUGAACUUUACGUCUUAAAAGAGAAUGUUCUGCAGAUUUUUAAAAACACUGAAUUUUAUGAAGCACAGGAAAGCAGAAAGCUAUUUAAGCCGUCCAGUUUUGCUUGGAAUUGUCCCAAGAUUCCAAGGAAGCUUAUUUCUGGUCUUGGGGCUGUCCUGGUCCUCUGCAGCUGACACUGUCGUCUGACUUGCUCCCAGGGCACCACCCAUUGCUCAUCUGUUUUGGCAGUCACCUGUGUGGGCCGCACAGUUUCGCUCUUCCAUUCCCUCUGCUACGAGAAGGGCAUGGGAGGGCGGUGGCUGAGCUUGGCUUCAUGUCCCUGUCCCGCUUCACACUCACCUUCAAUAAGAGGUAGGGUGCUUAGGCAGGCGGGCCAUGUGCUAUUUUGUCCUAUGGGACAUUCUUCGGAGCAAAGCAGGGACUUUUAGUAAUUAUUUCAGGACAGCUGGCAGAAUGACAGUGUCAGCAAGCUGAGCUGAAGGUCAUGCAAUGAGACUUUUACUGGAAGUUACUGGAAGGGAAACAUGGAGUUGACCACAGCUUUAAAAAAAAAACAAAAAACAAAAAACAAAAACAACUUGAUUUGUAUGUGUGGAACACACACACACACACACACACACACACACACACACUCAUGUAUAUUUUCAUAUGUAUGUGUGGAAGACUUUGGAUAUUCCCAUCCCCACCCCACCCCCGCCCUGAGAUCAGCCUUGCUAUGUAGCCCUUCCUGUCCUGGAGCUCACAGCCUAGAUUUGAACUCGCAGAGAUCUAUCUGCUUUUGCCUCCCAAGCCUGGAAUUAAAGGUGUAUGUUCUCAUGCCUGGCCACUUUUAAAAUAAAUAUUUAUCUUUCUUUGUGUGGACAUUUACUUUGCACACCAUAGCAUUAGGAUGUGUUCUGGGGUCGUUCUUUCAUGCCAUAGGGUGAAGAUGGGAGGCAUAGAUAGCCGUUUUGUUGAGAUAAGGUCUCACUGGCCUGGAACUGUUAAAUAGGCUGAGCUGGCUGAGCAGUGAACACAGGAAUCCUCCUGUCUCCACCCUGUGAUUACAAGUGUGUGCUGCCAUGCUUGGAUUUUGCUCACAUGGGUUCUAGUGGUUAGAUUCUGACCCUCAUACUUGCAAGGCAAGCACUUUACCAAGUGGGCUGGCUCCCCAGCCCCUACCAUUGACCUUCAUAGUCUUCACAGAGCAGAGAGUGUCCCUCUGGAGGCUUUCCCUAUUCUAUAUCUGUGCUCCAGUCUGGGGUGAGGAUACAGGGUUGCUGUGAAAGAUCUACUAUUGUUCUACACUGUCCAGUAGAGUAGCCACUAGCUAUGUGUGAUUAAAAUGAAUAAACUUGAAAUUUCAAUUUAUCAGUUAUUUUAGCCACAUUUCAACCACUGAAUAGCCACAAAUGCCUAGUGGCCACUGUACUGGCCAGGACAGGUGGAGAAUGCUUCAGCAUUGUAGAAAGUUCUAUGGGAUGGCAUUAUAAUCUCUUCAAGUCUCCCUGUUUCCUUCCUAGUCACUAGCCCCGUCCUCAUGCGUGUGUGCACAAACACACACAUAUACACCACAUAGCAUACACACACACAGACACACACACACCACAUGCAUACCAUAAACUCACAUGUGCAUGCAAACACAGUCCAGAUUCCAUCAGUUUAUCAUGCAAAAGCCUAGCUCUUCAGGCAGUACCUGAAGUCUCCAUCCCUUCC
rnacentral:lncRNA from 1 species